rnacentral:tRNA from 1 species
GCGCCAGUAGCUCAGCUGGAUAGAGUGUUUGACUACGAAUCAAAAGGUCGGGGGUUCGAGUCCCUCCUGGCGCGCCA